rnacentral:rRNA from 1 species
GAUGAACGCUGGCGGCGUGCCUAAUACAUGCAAGUCGAACGAAACUUCUUUAUCACCGAGUGCUUGCACUCACCGAUAAAGAGUUGAGUGGCGAACGGGUGAGUAACACGUGGGCAACCUGCCCAAAAGAGGGGGAUAACACUUGGAAACAGGUGCUAAUACCGCAUAACCAUAGUUACCGCAUGGUAACUAUGUAAAAGGUGGCUAUACUACCGCUUUUGGAUGGGCCCGCGGCGCAUUAGCUAGUUGGUAGGGUAAAGGCUUACCAAGGCAAUGAUGCGUAGCCGAAUUGAGAGGUUGAUCGGCCACAUUGGGACUGAGACACGGCCCAAACUCCUACGGGAGGCAGCAGUAGGGAAUCUUCCACAAUGGGCGAAAGCCUGAUGGAGCAACGCCGCGUGGGUGAAGAAGGUCUUCGGAUCGUAAAACCCUGUUGUUAGAGAAGAAAGUGCGUGAGAGUAACUGUUCACGUUUCGACGGUAUCUAACCAGAAAGCCACCGCUAACUACGUG